GGAGAAGAGGAGGCUGCAGGGAGACCACCUUGUGGCCCUAUAAUGCUACAACAGAGUGUAUAAAUUAGAGGGAGAACAAUUUUUCUGAAGGUGAACAGAAAUAAGACACGGGGGAAUGUUUUUAAACUGAGAAGGGAUGUUUAGGUUGGAUAUUAGGAGGAAGUUGGUGACACUCAGGGUGGUGACGCACUGAACAGAGUUACAGUUGCAUCUUGCUCCGGCUGCCAAAGACAGGAGCAGUUAGGGCAGUUGGGGAUGGGUGCAAAGAUGCCCCAGGUUGCCACUGGCGACACCGUUAUGAAGUCACUCCAGGGUUCCGGCCGUGGCAACGAGCCCACCAAGAGCAACAAACGCCUCUGCGCAGUGCUCCUGCUCUUGCCAGGCUCUGCAAGUUGACAGAGCUGACCAACAGCCGGCUUUGCUGCUGCCGAGAGUGGCAGACAGCCUGCAGGGCACAAGGAACAAGAGGCAUCUCGAAACAGAGGCUUUGGGAAAGCCGUCCGUUGGGCGAUGUUUGCCUGGAGGGCAGAAGACUUCUCAGCCCAGCCAAGGGCACAGAGAGCCAUCCCCCAGCCUGUGCCAGCCUUCCAGCUGCAAGAGACUGCUCACGGCACUGAUGGC
rnacentral:lncRNA from 1 species